UNGGACAUUAGGAGAUGCCCAAGGCAGAC
rnacentral:piRNA from 1 species